AUAUAUUAAAAAACCUAGUUCACUUUGAAAAAAUCUAUUUCUAACUAAAACAUCCUUUUAAUUUUAUAAUAUAAAAAGAAUUAUGUUAGCAUCACAAGAUUCAUCUUUUUCACAAUCAAAAAGAAGAUUGAUCCAUAUGGCAGGUUUUCUAACUGCAACUGUAGUGUGUACACACCUGUUCGGAUGGCACAAACUCCUAAAAAAAGGGAAGAAAAUUUCGAGGGUAUGCACUAUUUGAUAAUCUACAAGUGAGACAUGUGAAUUUCUUAGGUGGAUUGAUAGAAGUUCUUGCUAGAGGUGCUACUAGUUUAUACCUUGAUUGCAACAACAAUAAACAAAUGUGAGGACAAGAUUACUGUGUGUAAAGCGGAG
rnacentral:lncRNA from 1 species